AUUGAACGCUGGCGGCAUGCUUUACACAUGCAAGUCGAACGGUAACAGGGUGCUUGCACCGCUGACGAGUGGCGAACGGGUGAGUAAUACAUCGGAAUGUACCCAGUCAUGGGGGAUAACGCUUCGAAAGGAGUGCUAAUACCGCAUACGCCCUGAGGGGGAAAGUGGGGGACCGCAAGGCCUCACGUGAUUGGAGCAGCCGAUGGCUGAUUAGCUAGUUGGUAGGGUAAAGGCCUACCAAGGCAACGAUCAGUAGCGGGUCUUAGAGGACGAUCCGCCACACUGGAACUGAGACACGGUCCAGACUCCUACGGGAGGCAGCAGUGGGGAAUAUUGGACAAUGGGCGGAAGCCUGAUCCAGCCAUGCCGCGUGUGUGAAGAAGGCCUUUUGGUUGUAAAGCACUUUAAGCGAGGAGGAGGCUACUUAGAUUAAUACUCUGGGAUAGUGGACGUUACUCGCAGAAUAAGCACCGGCUAACUCUGUGCCAGCCGCCGCGGUAA
rnacentral:rRNA from 1 species